AUGGACAGUCAAGAAAGUGCAAAGAGUGUUGUGGAUUGCUGUGAAAUAGGCGAUCUUGCCGACGAUUUAGAACCAGUGUGCGAGGAUUAUUUCUUUGUGCCAGCACCACGGCUCACAGCCUUGUGCACACAGAAUCCAGAGGAAAAUGAUUUUCAAGAUUGUAUAGAUGAAGAAGACGAUGAACAGAUCACGGAAUUUGAAACUUUUGACAUUCAGAAUCCCGAGGAUUUCAUGUAUCAAAGUCUCAUGAUAGAGGAGGGCGAAGUGUUUAUACCUGAAGAUGAAAAUGAGGAAUGGCAACCAGUCUGGGAGCCUGUGUCCAUGGAAGAAAAACUUUUCUCUGAUCAGACAGAACUUCGCAAAAUGAUCCAUAAUGGCUGUUGCAAGAAUCACUGUACAAAGAACUUUUCAGAAGAUGAGCUCAUCAAGAUGAACAUGGACAGUCUUGAGCUGGACUAUUUUUGUGAUGGUACCAACGUUUUAGAUUUAGUAGUCUUAGGACAAUUAAGAGCCACUUGUAAAUUAGAUGAUAAAAUCAAGAUAUGUGGCAAAACAAUUGUGGAUAAAAAAAGAGAAAGAGGUAGAAUGGCUUAUUCUUUAAGUGGUAAAACUGUCUGCCAGAGUCUGUUUUUGAUUGUUAAUGGAAUAAAAAUCAAGAGAUUUAAACGCAUUUUGCGUCAUUAUAAAGAAAAUGGCGUGGAAACUCCUCAUCACAAGAAUAGAAAUAAAUGUCCCAAAAAUGUUACCGCACAUGAGGAGAUAGUGCGAGCGGUCAAGUUUAUUCAGAACUUUGCAGAAAGUAAUGCUUUGUUCAUGCCAGGGCGAGUUGCAGCUCAUUUUAAUAUAGUUAAAUUGCUUGCAUCCUCUGAAACAAAACGUGCUAUUUAUGAAAGGUACCAGACACUCAGUGAAAACAUGAAUCUGCGGCCAGUUUGUAAGUCAGUAUUUUUGAAUAUAUGGUUACAAUUUUGCUCUGACAUUGUAAUUAUGAAACCAAGAACUGACCUCUGCGCUAAAUGUCAAAAUUUCAUGACCUCCCACUCUAAACUAAAAGGGUGUACUGAAGAGCAGAAGAAAGAGUAUUAUUCUGUGUGUCUACAACACCUGGAGCAUGUCAAAAAAGAGCGAGCAGAGUACUUGUCUGAAAUAGAAAAAACCAGAGAGCAGGCAGAAGAUGAAAAUAAUAAUCGAACUACAAAGCACCUCAGUUUUGAUUUUGCCCAACAAAUUCAUAUUCCUCAUGAUUCCCAGCAAGUAGGGCCUAUUUACUUUCUCACUCCAUAUAAAGUCGGGCUUUUUGGGAUAAUGGAUGAUACAAAAAAAGUUCAAGAUAACUAUCUAAUUCCCGAGUCGGUAAAAAUUACAAAGGGAGCUAAUGCAAUAGUAAGCUAUUUGCACCAUUAUUUAGAAAGCCAUGAUGGCACAGUAGAAGAUCUGCUCCUACAUGCUGACAAUUGUGUGGGGCAAAAUAAGAAUAACAUAGUAGUUGACUACCUGAGCUGGAGGGUCCAGAAGGGUCUUAAUUCUCAUAUCAAAUUAUCUUUCCUCCCUGUUGGGCAUACUAAAUUCUCUCCUGAUUUUGCUUUUGGCUUAUUUAAGAAAAAAUUUAGAUCUAGUCAAGCAAGUAGCAUAAAUGAAGUUGUUGAAAUAGUCAAAGAGUCUACUCCUUUUAGUAAUUUGAACCAGGCUGUGGUAACUGGGACAGAGGCAGGACAAGUUUUAGUUCCAAUCUAUGACUGGCAUGACUACUUUAAUAAAAAAGAGUGGAAAAAGUUUCCUCUAAUUACGCAUCAUUAUCAUUUUGAAUUUAAAUCUGAAAAUAAAGGAACUGUGUAUGCCAGAAAAACUCUUGAAAGCUCCGUCACGGAACAUGUGAUUUGUGAUGGAGAAGAGGUUUUAAAUGAUUUUCCACUAGAAAUUCAGCCAGAGGGCCUUCCUCUCAAAAGGCAACAAUACUUGUUUAAAAAGAUCAGAGAGUUCUGCUCAGAGUCUUGUAGAGAUACGUUAUGCCCAAAUCCCAAUCAACUAGACCCAGACAUUGAUGAUCCACCACAUGCUGACCCAACUCCACCUGCUGACCCAACUCCACCUGCUGACCCAACUCCACUUACUGACCCAACUCCACCUGCUAACCCAAUUCCACUCGUUGACCCCGCUCCACUUACUGACCCCACAGCUUGUGCUUCAAUUGCUCCAAACAAUCCCCUUGCUGUCCCUGCUCCACGCAAUCCCCUUUCUGUCCCAGCACCGCGCGCACCACGGACAUCACGCGCACCACGCAAUCCCCUUGCUGUCCCCGCACCACGCGCACCACGCGAUUCACUCGCUACCCCCGCACCACGCGCUCCACGCACUCAACGCACUCCUCUCGCUACUCUCAAUCCACCCAAUCAACUCGCCACCCCCCCUCAACCUGUUCCCUCCCGGAAACGACCUUACUCAGCAACAAAACCUACCUAACUCGAAUCUAAAAUUUAGUGGUUCAUCGAAUGUCGAAACAGGUUUUCGUUUUUUUUCUUUUUCUGAAAGGUUUAACUUUUGAUUACUUUUGAUAUACCUAUUUUGUAUUUAAUUUUAAGCCAAUUCAUACAAUUUUUCAAUAUUUUCUCAGCAACAAAACCCACUUGACUCUAAUCUAAAUUUUAGUGGUUUAUUGACUGUCAAACAAGUUUUUUUUUUUUUCCCUCUUUCCAGAAGGUUCAACUUUUUUGGUAAAUUUAUUUUUUAUUUAAUUUCAAGACAAUUUUUACAAUUUUCCAAAAUUUAUACUUUGCAGGGGUCUGUUAUCACUCACUGACAUUAAUUGUGACUUAUCUUUUUGUUGAUAAGAAUCCUCAUUACCUUAAAUACUAUUUAAUUUUCAAAUAAAUUUUUGAAGCCACUAUAUUCUUGUAAGAUCAUUUCAUGUAACACAGAACGUAGAAUUCAAAAUUUUGUGCGUCAGAUUAAAAGUUGAUGUUAAUAUGACUCUUAGACCAAUUAAGAAUCUGGUUGGUAGGCUAGAUUUUUGACUUAAAAACUGCAACUUACAAGUCCACAGUCCAUAGUACCGAAACGUACAAAUUCUUCGCAGUACAGUCAAGGUUUUUCAUGUUAUGACUGAUAUGCCAGCUAAGGUCCCUUGUUGCACACGCUGAUUUUUGGUCCCAAAGAGUUUUCAUCUUAAGCCUCAAGGUCCCAAAGUAUUAAAAUAUUCAAAAUUUUCGCAUUAAAGGUGUUCAUAUGGUCAUAUGCCACGUAAGGUCCCUUGUCAAACAUGCUGAUUUUUGGUCAGAAAGAGUCUUCAUUUUAAGCCUCAACGGUCCGAAGUAUCAAAACAGUCAAAAUUGCAGCGUGAGAAUGAAUGGUGUCCAUCAUAUGACCAUAUGCCAGUUAAGGUCCCUUGUUAAACAUAUUGUUUUUGGUCGAAAAAAAUAUUCAUCUAAAGCCCGAACGGCCCAAAGUAUCAAAACGUUCAAAAUUUCUUCAUGGAAGGUGUCCAUAUGGUCUUAUGCCAGUUAAGGUCCCUUGUUAAACAUGCUAAUUUUUGGUCGGAAAGAGUCUUCAUCUUAAGCCUCAACGGUCCGAAGUAUCAAAACAUUCAAAACUUCCACGUGGGAGUGAAUACUGUCCAUGAUAUGGUCCUUUGCCAGUUAAGGUCCCUCGAUAAACAUGCUAAUUUUUGGUCGAAAAAACCUUUAUCCUAAGUUUCAAAAGUCCGAAGUAUCAAAACAUUCAAAAUUUCUUCAUGGAAUGUGUCAAUAUGGUCUUAUGCCAGUUAAGGUCCCUUGUUAAAACAUGCUAAUUUCCGGUCGAAAAGAACCUUCAUCCUAAGCCCCAACGGCCCCAAGUAUCAAAACACUCAAAAUUUCUUCAUGAAAGGUGUCAAUAUGGUCUUAUGCCAGUUAAGGUCCCUUGUUAAAACAUGCUAAUUUCUGGUCGAAAAGAACCUUCAUCUUCAGCCCCAACGGUCCCAAGUAUGAAAGCACUCAAAAUUUUCGCGUGAAAGUGAUCGGUGUCCAUAAAUGGCCAUAUGCCAGUUAAGGUCCCUUGUUAAACAUGCUAAUUUCUGGUCGAAAAGAACCUUCAUCUUAAGCCCCAACGGUCCCAAGUAUGAAAGCACUCAAAAUUUUCGCGUGG
rnacentral:lncRNA from 1 species